rnacentral:rRNA from 1 species
AUUGAACGCUGGCGGCGUGCUUAACACAUGCAAGUCGAUCGGUAACGCGGGGGCAACCCUGGCGACGAGAGGCGGACGGGUGAGGAACGCUUGGGAAUCUGCCCUUCAGCGGGGGACAACCCGGGGAAACCCGGGCUAAUACCGCAUACGCUCCACGGAGGAAAGCCGGGGACCGCAAGGCCUGGCACUGAAGGAUGAGCCCAAGUCGGAUUAGCUAGUUGGCGGGGUAACGGCCCACCAAGGCGACGAUCCGUAGCUGGUCUGAGAGGACGAUCAGCCACACCGGAACUGAGACACGGUCCGGACUCCUACGGGAGGCAGCAGUGGGGAAUAUUGGACAAUGGGGGAAACCCUGAUCCAGCGACGCCGCGUGGGUGAAGAAGGCCUGCGGGUUGUAAAGCCCUUUCGGUAGGGACGAAAGCUCUUGCCCUAACACGGCAGGAGGUUGACUUAACCUACAUAAGAAGCACCGGCUAACUCUGUGCCAGCCGCCGCAGUAAAAC